rnacentral:rRNA from 1 species
UACAGAGGUCUCAAGCGUUGUUCGGAUUCAUUGGGCGUAAAGGGUGCGUAGGCGGCGCGGUAAGUCGGGUGUGAAAUCUCGGAGCUCAACUCCGAAAUUGCACCGGAUACUGCGUGACUCGAGGACUGUAGAGGAGAUCGGAAUUCACGGUGUAGCAGUGAAAUGCGUAGAUAUCGUGAGGAAGACCAGUUGCGAAGGCGGAUCUCUGGGCAGCUCCUGACACUGAGGCACGAAGGCCAGGGGAGCAAACGGG